CCCUGCUGUGUGCUAUGCCUCUGUCACCUCUCAGGCUUCCGUGUCCUAGAAUGGGGACAACAGCUCCUACUUCAAAGGGGUUGAAUUGAGAUGGACAACGUGCUUAAAACGCGGCCCUGGAGCAGCACAAGCCGCAGGGACACCUGCUGCGGUUCCCCAACGCAGCAAGAGUCACUCCACCGCCCGGGUCCCAGGACACCCCCUCAUGCUAGGGGUCCUGCUGACUCCCAGGAUGGAGCUCGAGCAAGACUGGGCAGACCCGUCCCCCGGCACUCCCAGGCCAGGCGGAAACACCCUGGGAACAGGAAAUUCACAGAUAACCAGCUCAUUCUCAUGGUCCGGAGGGUCAGGAAGGGUCUCCUGCAAGCCCAGCUGAGAAAACAAACAGAGGCUCAGCGAGGUGAAGCCGGUUGCCCAAGGUCACACAGCUCAUAGCUCGGCAAGGACGGGAGCCAGGGUUGUCCGAUCUGUGCUCUAACUGCUGGCACCUCGGUCGGCUCCCGCUCUACCUCUCCCCGACCUCCGUGGCCCUCGGGCGCCUGAAGCCGCGUGGGGGCCGCGAAGGCAGGCGACUUGGCCAGGGGAGAGCCGCAAAGGGUUAACGGGCUCCGCCGCAUUGGGCCGGCCUCCGGCGGAACCAGCCAAUGGGCACGCGCGGCGAUGAGACACACAGUCCCAUCCAGGAUGAUUCUGGAAGAGAUGCUGGGGGAGAACCAGGAAGGCCCUGUUGUCUCCAGACUGUCGCAGGCUGGCCCACCCCUCUCGGUCCCCUACCUCCUGGAGAGUUGGACAGAGUGGAAAGAAUGUCAGUCACCAGGUGACCCAAGCUGUGGAUAUAGCCUCAUUCCCAUCCCGUGGGGCAAUUCCUGUCCCCUCCUUGGUUCCUGGGCUCCUCAUCUGCAGCAUGAAAGACUUGGACUAGAUUGUCCUAGGGUGCUCAUGCUGAUGGCCAGCAGACCUGCCCCUGUACUUGGCCAGACUUCUCAUUCCAGAGGCUGAACAAGGGUGCUGGGUGCCAGGCUUGCCUCUGGCUGCUCCCUGAAUGUGACCUGGCCUUCCAGCACCAACACAGUCCCCACAGGAAACUCAGACCAGUAAGGCCUCAACACACAUCCACUGACCACUCACCAAACGUCACAUGCCAGGCUAGACAUUGGGACAAAAAGGUGCAGGGCACGACGUACUUACUGUUCUUUUCACAGAAACUGCACUCUGGGAGGGGAGAGUCCUUUUAAUAAACUCAAAAUUACCUGAGAUUAUGCAAAGGAGGAGAGGGAUCGACCAGGACGGGAGGUCGGCCGUAGUGAGGGCUGUCCUGAGAAGUGACCGCUAACUCAGUGAGCGCUAAGUGACAGAGGUGACACAGGCAAAGUCUGCUCCAAAAUGGGAACAGGAAGGGCAGGGGCCUGUGCAGAGAGCACGGGUGGAGAGAGCUCCUACCCAGAAAGAGGCAGCGCUCCGAUGAGUGACGGGGAGUCUGGGGAAGGGGCCCGGCCCCCAGACAGAACCCAGGAACAUCUGAGAUGCGUUAAGCAGGGGAAUUACCAGAAUGGAUUUCUGCUCAGAAAAUCUCGGAGAAGAGCGUGGGCCCUCAUUGCUGCUUUAAGUGACUUUUAUUGUGUGUGGCUUAAAUAUCUACAAACGAAAAACGAGACAUAAAGUCCUGGUAGCUUUUAUACAACUAUAAAACCAAGACAGAUCGAUCAAUCAAAUACAAAAUCAAUUCACAUCAGAUUAAUCUGAUGUGACAUAUUAUGUCUUUUGCUUGAAACCCUGUCACCACCCACAGAGUAAAUACGGCCCAACCACUGUGGUGCUCAGUGUUUGUGACAGAGACGACCGACCAGCCUUCUACACACACGCGCACGUGUGUGUGCAACAAAUGGUCUUCCCCUCAGAAUAUGUAAAGAACUUCUACCAAUCAACAAGAGGAGGAGGAGGAGGAGAGGACAGACGUCGCUGCAAGGAAAAAAAAUCGGGGAGUGGCACUAACGUCCUUCACAACACAAUUUCCAAAUGGUCCACAAGUGCAUAGAACGUCCGCGGCUUGGGGACUCCUCCGGGAUGUCUCAAUCAGAGCGAAAUAUCUUAGACGCCAUAAUUUAUAAGCAACAGGAUUGGCGGCUCACAGUGCUGGAGACGGGGGAGCCCGAAAUCCAGGUACCAGCAGAGCCUCGGGACCCCUGAGGACAGCUGCAGUCCAGAGCCACCCCCCACACACCUCCUUCUCAGCCGCGCCCCGCCUAUAAUCACCACCCAGCAGUCCCUUGGCUCCCAAUGGGUCCGUCCACCCAGCACUGCCGGGACACACUCCCACACACACUCCCACACACACUCCCACACACACUCCCACACACACUCCCACACACACUCCCACACACACUCACACACACACUCCCACACACACUCACACACACACUCACACACACACUCACACACACACUCCCACACACAGCAGCCGUGGGUUCAUAAAAAGACGCACGGUUCAUAAGAACCCAAACCAAAGUGAAUCCCCACGCCCUUCAGGAGCGGAGGACAAACAGCGAGCCGGCCCUUCCCACCCUGGUGACUGACCAGCCGGGGAGGGACGACCUGGGCGCCAGAGCAGACGGAAUCUCAGCCCGAAGGAGGAGACCAUUUAUGGAAGGGGAAAGCAGGCCGCGGUACUGGGGAGCAGGGCAGAGUCCACCCUCUGCGACCAGGCCUUGGAGGAGGGGAGCCCAGAGGACUGAGCGGUCACGACCUUACGGAAACAGCACUCUUCCUCAUGUCUAAUUGCGGUGUGUCCCCAGAGGUCAGCUGUGGGCCAAGGGGAGCGCACCCGGGGCCCCUCUGGCCCUUCCUGCCCAAAGACCACCCGCUGCGAGCAGUAGCCUGGGGUCGGUGCCCGCCCUGGGGUGGUGUGGAACCAGCCGGCUCUUCCUGCUCCAGCCCCUGCCCUGCCUUGCCCUCCCCUACCACCGGUGGACAGAGGCACGUGAUGGAGGAGGCCUGUUGGCCCCAGGACGGCCAGGGGCAGAGGGGAGAAAAGGACAAGGGCCUGAAUCCCAGGACCCCCUUCAGGGGCACCCAGCGACCUAACUUCCUUCCCCUAGGCCCCACCUCGGACAGGGUCCACCACCUCCCAAUAGCACCACAGUUUCUCAGUGACUAAGCCAUUGACCUGGGGCCUCUGGGGACACUCAUCUAAACCACAGUAGCUGCUGCUCCAGCAGGGGUUACCCUAUGCUCCCUUACAUUGGCACAGUCCACUGUCCAACAGUGUCACACUUCAUGACAGUGUAAGAACCUUACUAAAGCACGAAGCUAUAACCAGCCUCCUCUCUGUCAUUUAUAAUAUUGUGGUCACAUACUUUAUUUUUACAUGUUAUCCCAGAAUGCAUUAUUAUUUUUGCUUGAGAGAAUUGACUAAUUUUUAAAGAGUUGAGAAAAAUAGUCUUUUGUAUUUAUUAACACAUUCACCAUAUCCAGUACUUUUGGUUUUGUUCCUAUAAAUCUGAAAUUUCACCUGACGUCAUUUUUCUUUAGUAUAAAGAUCUUUAUUUGGGUCUGGUUGUAGCUCAGUGGUAAAGCAUUUGUCUAGCAGGUGUGAGGCACUGGGUUUGAUUCUCAGCACCACUUAUAACAAAUAAAAUAACAAAUGAAUAACAAAUAAAAUAAGAAUUUAACAACAACUAAAAAAAAUUGUUUUAAAAAAAUCUUUAUUUAACCUUUCUUACACCAAAGUUCUAUUGGUAUCAAAUUCUCCAUUUUCAUUUGUCCAGUGUUUUUAUUUUUCCAUUUUGAAAGAUAUUUUCGCUGACAUCAUUCUAAAUGGACAGCUAGGCACGGUGGUGCACACCUGUAGUCCCAUCAGCUCAGGAGGCUGAGACAGGAGGAUCGCAAAUUCAAAGUCAGCCUCAGCAAAAGCGAGAUGCUAAGCAACUCAGUGAGACCCUGUCUCUAAAUAAAAUACAAAGUAGGGCUGGAGAUGCAGCUCAGUGGUCAAGCGCCCCUGGGUUCAAUCCCCAGUAUAAAAAAGAAAAAAAAAAUUCUAAAUGGACCAGCUUUUUCUUUCAGUGCUUGUAAGAUGCUGUUCCAUUGUCUUCUGACUUGCAUUGUUUUUACGUGAAGUCUGUGGUUUUCCCUUACUGUUUUCCUAUGCCCAAUUUAAAAUAUUUUCCUGAGCUACUUUUUAGACACCCACCCCUUCUGGUUUCAGUAGUGUAACCAUGAUGUGCUUAAGUAUGAUUUUUUUUGUAACUUUUUUUUUUUUUUUGGUCGGGGGAGUGGUACUCUAUGAUCAGGUCAUAUCCUCAGCCCUUAUUUUCUUUGUAUUUAUCAUAGUUGGGGUCCACUGAAUUUCAAGCUAUAGGUUGAUUUUUUUUAAUUUAAACUUUGAAUAUUCUUAGCCUAUUGAUAGCCUCAUCAAAUUUUGUUUCUGUCUCAUUCUCUUUCCUCCUCUGAGAGACUCCAAUCACAUAUGUGUGGAUUUCCUUCUCCAUCCCAUGUUAAUGAGGCUCUGUUCAUUAUUCCAUUGUGUGUGUGUAUACAUGUGCUUCAGUGUAGAUAAUUUCUAUUUAUCUGUUCUUAAGGUCGUUGUUUUUUUAAAUUGAUUCUAAUAUGCUUUAAAUCUCAUCAAAUGAAUGUUCAAUUUCAGAUACUGUAUUUUUCAGUUUAGAAUUCAAUUUGAUUUUAAAAAUUUUUCAUAUCUUCCUUUAUUAGAGGUUUAAUUAGUUCUCCCCACCACCACCACACACACACAAAAAAGAUAUGUUGAAAUUCUCACCCCCACUUCCUAGAAUGUAACCUUAUUUGGAAAUAGAGUCAUGAAGAUGUAAUUAGCUAAGAAGGGGUCAUUCUGGAGUAAGGUAGACCUUGGUACACUAUGACUGGUGUCCUCCUAAAAAGAGGCUAGAGAUGCGGGGAGAAUGCCACGUGAAGGAGGGAGACCAUGGAUGCGUCUAAUCCAAGGAAUGCCAACAAUCUCCCCUGUCACUAGAAACUAGGAGAGAAACCUGGAACACUCUCCCUAAGAGUCAUCAGAAGGAACCAGGCUGCCAAUACCUGGAUUUCAGACCUGUAGCCUCUGAGACUGUAAAAGAAAAUAUUUCUCUUUCUUAAACAACUUAGUUCAUGGGACUUUAUUCCAUCAACCGUAGGAAACACUUCUGAAAUUUUCCUUGUUGUUACCCAUUAUAAUUGCCUUUUCCUGUAGAUUCUUAAACGAAUUUAUUAUAACAAUGGAAAAUCUCCCUACUAAUUUCAACAUCUGAAUCUGUUUCCAUCUUUAAAAAAUAAAAUUGACUGUGUCAUA